rnacentral:tRNA from 1 species
GGAGGGUAUAGCUCAGUGGUAGAGCAUGUGCUUAGCAUGCACAAGGUCCUGGGUUCAAACCCCAGUACCUCCA